rnacentral:rRNA from 1 species
GACAGAGGGUGCAAACGUUGUUCGGAAUUACUGGGCAUAAAGGGCACGUAGGUGGUUCGCUAAGUUACGUGUGAAAUCCCCCGGCUCAACCGGGGAAUUGCGCGUGAUACUGGCGGACUCGAGGCGGGUAGGGGUGAGCGGAACUCCAGGUGGAGCGGUGAAAUGCGUAGAUAUCUGGAGGAACACCGGUGGCGAAGGCGGCAUCCUGGACCGACACUGACGCUGAGGCGCGAAAGCUAGGGUAGCAAACGGG